rnacentral:rRNA from 1 species
ACGGAAGGCAGCAGUGGGGAAUAUUGCACAAUGGGGGAAACCCUGAUGCAGCGACGCCGCGUGAGUGAAGAAGUAUUUCGGUAUGUAAAGCUCUAUCAGCAGGGAAGAAAAUGACGGUACCUGACUAAGAAGCCCCGGCUAACUACGUGCCAGCAGCCGCGGUAAUACGUAGGGAGCGAGCGUUGUCCGGAUUUACUGGGUGUAAAGGGUGCGUAGGCGGGCUUGCAAGUCAGGCGUGAAAUACCGGGGCUUAACUCCGGGGCUGCGCUUGAAACUGUAAGUCUUGAGUGAAGUAGAGGCAGGCGGAAUUCCCAGUGUAGCGGUGAAAUGCGUAGAUAUUGGGAGGAACACCAGUGGCGAAGGCGGCCUGCUGGGCUUUAACUGACGCUGAGGCACGAAAGUAUGGGGAGCAAACAGGAUUAGAUACCCUGGUA